AUGCAGCUUCUUAGAUGCAAGCAAACCACCAUUAACAUUAAUGGGGAGCCCGACCCCUUUUUUCGAAACUUGAGGGGCGUUCGGCAAGGUGACCCGAUACCCCUUCUCCUUUUCAACCUAGUAGUUGACGCCUUGGCUAUAACCUUAGAGGGUGCUAAGACAGUCGAGCAUAUUCAUGGGGUGUUCCCUGAAGUCCACAAGGGCGGCAACUUGCAGUAUCCAAAUGAUACCUUCAUCCUGAUCCAGAAAAACCAAGUCAGUUUGAUCAAUCUGAAGUUUUAUUGA
rnacentral:rRNA from 1 species